CAUGUUGCUCUAGCUGUAUUAUGUUCAUCCUUGCUAAGUAACCUGUAAAUGCCAUGCUGUUGUUUGUCUUGAUUGCUUUGGUUGCUGUGAGCUUUCAAGUACAUUCAAUGUACUGACCUGGCGUGUCAUGCCAGUUUGCAGGUCAUGCCUUGUUUGCUUGCUUGUUUGCUGAGUAUCUUGAUUUUUUGAGCUAGGAUAAACGUUCUAGCUAGAGUCCUAUGGAGUGGAGUCCAUUGUCGUUGUCGCUGUUCCGCUGCUAGAAUUUAUUCCACUGCUAUGAGUUGUUCUGCUGCUUGCAUAGAGCAACCUUGGCAGGCGUAGUGUCGCCGUGUCAAUGUAAUGCCUUUGUAUCCAUAUCGAUUGUAAUAAAGAGCUCAUUUGUUCUAUGCCAAGCAGUGUCGUAUUCCCUAGACUUAUCUCGAUCUUUGGGCUGGAAUACAUGGCAUUCCGGUCUCUCUGAGCCGGGGUUCCACAAGGCUUGGUAUCAGAGCAGGUCUGGCUGUAGAGCAUCGUAGUCCGCACGAACAUUAGAAAACGAUAGUAUAGGGUCUAGUUGUUUAUCUUUGCCUGCUGCAUUUGAUUGUUGCAUUUGUUUGCCGCAUAUCAUGCAUGUAGGUUUAUUUCCUUACCCCUAACCGUUUAUUUCGUGCGUAUAGAUGGCUGGUGCCUCGAGAGAGUUCAACACCAUCCCCAGUGAUCUCAAUGCUGUUCCCAUUGCCUUCAGCACCGCCCCUGCACCUCUCAGCUUCACCUCCCUACUUUGUGAAAUGUGGUGCAGUCUCUAUCCCAACGGAGAUCCACCCAGUUAUCAAGUCUUCCAGUUUCAAAUUGGAGGAAGCAUCCUGGAAUUCGUUUCUCAUGUUCAUUUGUUAGCCGCGAUUCCUGUCGCUAGGCAUACCUACAAUUUCCACGGUGGUUAUGGUGCUACUCCUGAGCGUGCCGUUCAGCUAGCCGCCAUGGCGGGAGUCACGGGUCUUCAUCAUCAUGAGAGUAUGGCGCAAGAGAACCGUGCUUAUCAGUACUAUCCUACCAUCGUCGAGAAUCCUAAGAGGAUCAGCUUCCCUUCUGUUCAUCCUUAGGAUGAUGCAGCUAUCUUCGCCAUGUCCCAGUACAUGAUGGUCGAGUGCAUUCUUAUUUCUAAGUUAGUCCGAGAUGCCACCAGAGCUAGGAGACUGCUUGGCUCUACUCUAACCCAAUCUCAGUCGGCUUCUCCACCGAUCCCUCCACCAAAUUCCACCAGAGUUUCGGAGUCAGCCUCUACACUCGCCACUCCCUUACCUUCUUCAUCAGCCCCCGAGUGUUUGUUCAAGCGUAAGGCGUAGGCACUCGCGUAGUGCAUGUUGCAUAUGUUGUAGUAUCAUGCUUGUGUGUGACUGGGUGGAGUAGUUAUGUAACUUGUAUGAUGUGUGCUUUGUUGCAAUCGAUCGUUUCUUGUGCUUCUUUAUUUGAAUCUUUGGUGUUACCCUGUUUUUCCCCUUAUGGAAAUUGCUCAUCAACCGACACCGGACCAAAAGAAGCCAUGGGAAAUAUAUUUAUACUCAGUAAGCUUAGCUAAACACAAUGAGAUAGUCAGCUGACAGCACCGUAUUGCAGACAUCCGGUCUGAAUACCAAUGAUAUCCUACUCAGACUAUCAGCAUCAGGUACCCGUCAAAGAGGCAUUCUCAUUGCAGCAAUGAUUAACCUAGCAGGAGAACAAAGUUGGGUCCAAAGACAACCAAACAUUUCAAGUCAAAAGCAUGGGUUGAUUCUGUUAUGGGUAAGAUUCGACACAUGCUACACCCAGAAGACAGUCCAAAUGUGCGAUGAAUUUAGCAAGAAGGACAGUCAGGCAAUAUUUCUCAUACGAGUAAUCUCCAGAAUAUAUAUAUGUAUGGCUUUUAGUUGGCAAAGAAAGAUAAACCAGCAAAGCGUACGAGGCAAGUUUUCUCAAUCUUCCUCAGUAAGGUAUGAAUGACUUCCCGUGCAAGGUAUUCGGUCUUCUUCAGCAAGACACCACAAAAGAUUUCGGCAUAAGGUACCGAGUCUUCCCUAGCAAGUCACUAAGGGGGAAGAUUCUGAGGUACGGUACCUAAUCUUCUUCAACAAGCUGUCUGACGAAAGCUUCCACCACAAGCCAUCCAAUCCUCCUCAGCACGAUACUCUCGAUGGCUUCCAACAUAAGCUGCCUCAAUUUCUUCAGUACGACACUGGCGCAAGAUAUUACAUAAUGAGUUGGCGAACAAGUCUCAGACCCAUAACGGAUUUGUGAAAAAGCAAGAACUCAGACAGAACACAAGUACACCUUGGGAAUCGGAUAUUCCUAUAUAAAGUGAGCAUGUUGCCAAGUUCAUACAAGACCCUCGUACAAGGAAUAAUUCAAAGUAAGCAUCCGACAACCUCACCGGUUAUGCGAGAGAAAGAAAGCCAGUGGGUGACGCAAGAACUGACAAGCCUUAAAGAAAGGCAACAUUAGGACAACUAUCUUGACAAUGGUUAUCAAGGUUAGCCUCCUCACACCCGACAGAGUGAUAUUAUUAACCGUUGUCACUAUCUGAUUAACAUCAACAAUAAGCUUCAUACAAGCACAUGUGAACCUGGCAAAUAUCCCGAGACUCGAGACAUGAACAGGGCCAAGGUAUGAUUUCCAAAUAUUGCAUAUGAUAGCACCAACGGUCACACGAAGAAUCAAUAGUAUAUAUACGGCAACGCUCUUGCAAAUAAAGGAUCCAGACCAAUAAAACAAUAAUGAAGGAGCAAGAUCAGCAAUAAAAGUAUGAUCGUGGUUGCAUGACCAACAGGGCACAGAUACCCCGGGCAGUUUGAGUCAGUAUCGAUCACCAUGAAGAUACACCUAAGGGGUCUACUCCGUCUUGGUAAGGACCUCAUAGCAAGGUAACCUGCUCAACCAACUAUAUGUGAUCAGUAUUGUCAGUAUCAAAUAUCCAAGCCUGUCAUGUCAGAACACAAACCAACUCAAUAGAUCAACUCCAGCAACUGUGUUAUGGCAACACACGGCUUACCAUCCACAUAAAUACACUGAUAGAAUGAGUAAUCCAGAUGUUGAACGACAGUCUCACAGCGUGUGCCCUCACUUAUGGCAAUUGAUUAAAGAAUAGCCUGUCGAGGACAAGAUUCUUUUGCCAAAAACACCACCAGUGAAGUCUGUGAAUGUUAUCGCCACAAGGUGAUACACUUUUCUAUGAAGCCACUCAAGAUCAUUCAGAAAUUCUUGCGAGAAGUCAGAAUCCAUUGGGAGAACAUGUAUGAUUCACAUCACUAUUUUGAACUCGGAGGACAUGCACAUAUUUGAGCAACCCGAUACCUGGAUAGAAGAUAUUUCUUGUUCCCCGAGGAGAUGUACUCCGUGGAGUAUUCUCGGUAAUGGAUACAAGAAUAAUACUUCCAUCAAGAAUCAUUAGUGAGAAGGACACGUAUGACACAUAUGAAAGAAAAUUGGAGCCAGUGUGAACCUAAGCAUAUGAGGUAAGUCAAAAUGUCAGGUGUGGUGAAGCAGACUACCCCGAGCAAGACUGUCAGUCAGAUGAAAUUUAAUGGGAACAUAAUAUAAAGGAAAACCCAAGUUGGGAACGGUUCCCUUGAGUCAGAUAUAUUGACUUCAUCCCCGAGGAACCAAAUCUCGAGGACGAGAUUUCUUUAAGGGGGAAGGUUUCUAACAUCCUGGAUUUUGGCUUUUUCUUUUUCUUUUGAUUUUUUUGAGCUAUUGUUUUGAUUUGUUUUUUCGUGGCUCUGUGAUCCUAAAACUUGGGAAGAUCAUGCCUUCCUAGGUUUCAUAGUGGCUUGUCAUCCUCAAAAUCAUCCCUAGCUCAUGUCAUUUUCAUCCUAGCCCAAAUCCCAAUAUUCUUUUAUUAGGAAUAUUCCUCUUCUAUUAAAGGAAUAACCCUAUUAGCCCUAGGUUGUGAAGCAACCUAUAUUUUUGUCACUCUAAAAAUUCCCAAAUAAUUCCCAUAAAUUGUUUGGGUCAUAUAUUCCUCAAAUAUGGCAAAACCUUUCAUUGCCAUGUUAAAAAAUAAUCCUCAAAUAAUUCUUUUCCUAUUCUGCCCUAAAUAGCACUUUGUGAAGGAAGUGCUAUUUACUUUUUCUUGAUUGACCCCAAACUUUUUGGACACUUUUUCCUGUCCAUAUCAUUGCCUCAUGACAAGAUUCAACUCAAUUUUCCUAGUAAAUAUUCUUGAGAAAUUUUCCAAUGUUUUUGUCCAGAAAGGAACUUUGUGAAGAAGGUAAAAGCUAGGAAUAUUCAAAUGAGUUGAAACUUUGCCAAAUCCUUCAUAUGAUCAAACUAUAGUUCUCCUCCAAAUUUGAGCUCAUGAAACCUCUCCAUGUGAGCUCAACAUCAAUUCUUGGUUUCUUGUCAGAAUUUCAGUUUGUGAAGCAACUAUAUUUUAUAUUGCUUCAUUAUGGCUUGACAUUUACCAGGCAAUUCUCAUGUCCAUAUCAACUCUCUCCAUAAAAUUUGGGCUCAUUCCAUCUAGCCAUUUGCCUUGUGCAUUUUUUCUAAGUUUUUGUCCAGAUUGAAGCUCUAUGAAGCAACUACCAUUUUGGUAUUUCCAAAUGGCAUGAAAUUUUUACAAAAGCUUCAUAUCAUCAAAUAACUCGUCUACACCAAAUUUGAGUUUAAUGCAAUCAUUUCUGUUGGUGCUACUUCAUCAUUUCCAAAUCUGCACAAUGUGGCACUUUGUACAACAAGUGCUAUCUAAACCCCUCCUCUUAAGCUGAUUUUUUUGUCAUCACCAUCAUCUUAGCAUGUAAUAACACCAUGCCAAAGACCAGAGUCUAGUCUCUCUUGGAUCUUCCUCACCACAGCACAAAGAGGUUGCUGUUCAUCUGCAUUGGAGCCAAGUGCUAAUCUCUUCUUUGCCCCUGGACUCAUUUAUUUCUUCAUUUGAACUAAGGGUAGCAGGGCCCUUCUGCUAGACAAAGUUUGGCAACCCAGAGCACGAGCAAUUGUUGUGUGCACGCGGUGAUCACGCUUGCGUCAUGCAACAACAAGCUCUGGCUCGUUUCGGCCACUGUUCUCGCCCGCUCCCUUUGCGUCUGGACGUCCCUCCAUGUCUAGUAGCUCCCCCAUGAGCCUCUGCAUCGUCCCAUGCCCGACCCCUCUCCUGUUUCGUCGUUGUCUGUUCGCCGUUGAGCAUGCCCGUGGCACUAGCAGCUCUGCUCCUCCAUUGUCGUGUUGGAAGAGCUCUCUAAAGCGCUCCCGAGCCCUCCCCUCGGCUAUAUACAACACCCCCGUCCUCUCCCGCACCUGGCAGCUCCUUCCCUUGCCUCCCACAUCCGUCAGAGUUUGACGUUUCCUCCUGUGUCCAUCGUGGUGGUCAUCGGCCUCGCCAUGAUUCCGGCCAGCCGAGCUCCUCCUCCACCCCUGACCCUCCACUAGCUUCCCCACUCUCCAGCGAACCUCCCCAUCCCCUUGCCCCUCGCCGGAGUGCCCCGGCGACCGUCGUCCCCAAACUUGGUCGCUCCCGCCCGUGCCCUCUUUGGCUGCGAGCCACCGUAACUCCUCCUCAAUGCCCCCAACCAGCCCAGGCGAGUGAGGCGCCCCCUUCUGGACCCGUCGGCAGCCUCGCCCUCGCCGGGGACCACCGGAGUCACCGGAGCCCGGCGUCGGCCGCGCCUAUGCUGGCCUCCCCGGCUUCUGUUGAGAGAAAGAAGAUAGGGAGCAAAAGGAGAGAGAGAGAAGAUGAGUGGGUCCCACACGUCAUCCUCAGCAUUGACUUGGCCCCGGGCCUGCGUGUGAGUAAGUGGAAGUGUACUUUGAAAAAUACGUUUUCUGUUACUGAAAGCGCAUUUUCUUUCUUGUUCGGCCCAAAAGUGUGCUUCUCUCUUCUAAAAGCGUAUUAUCUGAAAUACAUUUUCUGUUUUUCAGCUCAGGGACCUAUUUAUGGAGGAAUAUUUACUGAUUGGUCCCUAUUCUUCUAUCGCUUAUAUCUCUUCAACCAUAACUCCAAUUGAGGUGAGUCCAACGCCUACUUCUUCGUAUCGUCGAGCUCUAUUUGUUGGUAUCAUUUUCACUAGGUGGUCCCACUGUGAAAAUGACCUUGAUACCCUUGCCCUUAUCUAGCCCCUCUUAGAGUAAAGCGUCCAGUGAAUCGUCCCGUGAUCUCACCGCGCCUCUCCCCAGAGUAUCCCGCAACCCGAGGCAAGCCACGACAACUACUUGCAUGAUGGAUUACAAUAUCCAUGGUUUCUACUUAAAUAUUUAAUAAAUGUUUGCUCCUUUAACUGCUGCUAUUGCUGUUUCAGUUAUGCUUGUGGAUUUAUGUUCAUCUUCUUGCUAUGCCCCUAUGCACCUUGUUAGUAUGUGUUACUUGCUAGUAUUAUUCUCAUAUGUCAUGUUGGUUGGGAGUACAGGCUGGUGAUAGUGAUGCUCUUUGAUGCAUUAUUAUCGUCUGUUGUGAAAGUACAAGUGUUAUGUAUGAUCAUCAUGCCAUGUUCAUUUGCACCUACUGGACUAGUGCUUUAUUAUUGUUAUUGCUAAUGAUUCAUAUGGUUAUGUGCUCAUCCAUGUUUAUGUUUAUAUCAUGCUCUUGCGCAUUGUUAUUUCAUCAUGUUAUUAUGACUCAGCAUCAUUUGCAUUCAAUUUUAACAGACUUUAAUUGAACUUGAACACCUGCUGGCUGAGUCAUAGUGCCAUCGAAAUCAAACUGACCAGUGCAACCACAUUUGCCUUAAUGGGAAGGCCCUAAUUGGGUCUAUUGUCAUGCCUCUCGCCGGUGCCUCCAACUUGGGAAGGUUAUGGGUGCACGCUACCCUGAUCAGGUAGGCGGACAUAAACCUUGUGUGCCCGUGUUGGUUUGAGCGCUCUUGUCCCCGUUUGGGACUGUUUUUGUUUUGCCACGACGGUGGCCAUUGGGUGUCACGAGGUGACAUCGGGGCAACCCAUGACUUAGCCCAAAGGGGAGUUUGUCGGAGUGGCCGGAAGAGUGUCAUGACAAUAGGUGAGUUUGGUCGGAACGCCGUUGGUCCACCCGAAUUGGAGGAUGAGGCCUUGGGUUUAGUAGUGUGGGUACAGUGUGCUAACCUCUGCAGAGUGUGUUUAAAUCUAUUGAUAGCUGCGCCCACGGAUAUGGGCCCAGUUCGUAGUAGGUCACACUAUGAGUCAACAGUAAUAAUAACUUGUUUAAUAAUAACCUUGAUUCGAUGAUGAAAGGAGUGGUUGAUUAUUAUGUGAUCGUGAGAGGAUCACAAUGUUAUCAAGGAUACCAAAGAUGGUUGAGGUUUAUGGUACUAUGCGAUAAUCAAGGGUAAAGAUCAAGCUCCUGUGGUCAUGUAAUGGUUACUACAGUAUUGGUAAUACCAAGCUUGAUUUGAUCCCGAGGUGAUCAUGUGAUGACCAUGAUGGUAAGUGAUACAUCUGGUGGUUACGAGGUAACCCUGAACAGAGUAAGUUGGGGCAUGCUAUUGUUAACAUGUUGCAUGCUAGUAUCAUCAUAUGUUCAUGCCAUACUCAUCUGGUAUUGUUCUAGUGCUAUCUUGUUCACCAUGUACAUGCCAUGUUGCUCUAGCUGUAUUAUGUUCAUCCUUGCUAAGUAACCUGUAAAUGCCAUGCUGUUGUUUGUCUUGAUUGCUUUGGUUGCUGUGAGAUUGCAAGUACAUUCAAUGUACUGACCUGGCGUGUCAUGCCAGUUUGAAGUUCAUGCCUUGUCUGCUUGCUUGUUUGCCGAGGAUCUUGAGUUUGCAAACUAGGAUAAACAUUCCAACCAGAGUCCCUGCGAAGUGGAGUCCAUCGUCAUCGUCGCUGUUCCACUGGUAGAAUUUAUUCUGCUGCUAUGAGUUGUUUUGUUGCUUGCAUAGGGUAACCUUGGCAGGCAUAGUAUCGCCGUGCCGAUGUAAUACCUUUGUAUCCAUAUUGAUUGUAAUAAAGAGAUGAUUUG
rnacentral:lncRNA from 1 species